rnacentral:rRNA from 1 species
AACGAACGCUGGCGGCAUGCCUAACACAUGCAAGUCGAACGAAGGCCUCGGCCUUAGUGGCGCACGGGUGCGUAACGCGUGGGAAUCUGCCCUUUGCUUCGGAAUAACAGUUAGAAAUGACUGCUAAUACCGGAUGAUGACUUCGGUCCAAAGAUUUAUCGGCAAAGGAUGAGCCCGCGUAAGAUUAGCUAGUUGGUGGGGUAAAGGCCUACCAAGGCGACGAUCUUUAGCUGGUCUGAGAGGAUGAUCAGCCACACUGGGACUGAGACACGGCCCAGACUCCUACGGGAGGCAGCAGUGGGGAAUAUUGGACAAUGGGCGAAAGCUUGAUCCAGCAAUGCCGCGUGAGUGAUGAAGGCCUUCGGGUUGUAAAGCUCUUUUACCAGGGAUGAUAAUGACAGUACCUGGAGAAUAAGCUCCGGCUAACUCCGUGCCAGCCGCCGCGGUAAUAC